rnacentral:rRNA from 1 species
AUUGAACGCUGGCGGCAGGCCUAACACAUGCAAGUCGAGCGGAUGAAGGGAGCUUGCUCCUGGAUUCAGCGGCGGACGGGUGAGUAAUGCCUAGGAAUCUGCCUGGUAGUGGGGGAUAACGUCCGGAAACGGGCGCUAAUACCGCAUACGUCCUGAGGGAGAAAGUGGGGGAUCUUCGGACCUCACGCUAUCAGAUGAGCCUAGGUCGGAUUAGCUAGUUGGUGGGGUAAAGGCCUACCAAGGCGACGAUCCGUAACUGGUCUGAGAGGAUGAUCAGGCACACUGGAACUGAGACACGGUCCAGACUCCUACGGGAGGCAGCAGUGGGGAAUAUUGGACAAUGGGCGAAGGCCUGAUCCAGCCAUGCCGCGUGUGUGAAGAAGGUCUUCGGAUUGUAAAGCACUUUAAGUUGGGAGGAAGGGCAGUAAGUUAAUACCUUGCUGUUUUGACGUUACCAACAGAAUAAGCACCGGCUAACUUCGUG